GGACGAACGCUGGCGGCGUGCUUAACACAUGCAAGUCGAGCGGAGAAUAUAGCAAUAUAUUCUUAGCGGCGGACGGGUGAGUAACGCGUGGGUAACCUGCCUUUUACAGGGGGAUAACACUGGGAAACUAGUGCUAAUACCGCAUAAAAUAGUGAAGUGGCAUCACUUUACUAUCAAAGGAGCAAUCCGGUAAAAGAUGGACCCGCGUCCGAUUAGCUAGUUGGAGGGUAACGGCCCACCAAGGCGACGAUCGGUAGCCGAACUGAGAGGUUGAUCGGCCACAUUGGGACUGAGACACGGCCCAGACUCCUACGGGAGGCAGCAGUGGGGAAUAUUGCGCAAAUGGGGGAAACCCUGACGCAGCAACGCCGCGUGAAGGAUGAAGGUUUUCGGAUUGUAAACUUCUUUGAUUGGGGACGAUAAUGACGGUACCCAAAAAACAAGCCACGGCUAACUACGUGCCAGCCGCUGC
rnacentral:rRNA from 1 species